AAGAGAGCUCGGGGUACCCCCCCGAAACCUCCACCCUUUGUUUAUCAGCCGCCUUUCUACGUUGCUUCGGCGGGUACCCUUCACCGGGUACACGCCGGAAGACGCGUUUAAUAAACCUUAUUUGAACGUUGCAGUCUGAAACUUUAUUGCAAAAUAAAAUUA
rnacentral:misc_RNA from 1 species